ACGCUGCACGCUCGAAAUUCCUCCAAGGAACCUCUGCGAGCUUUUCUUUUUUCAUCACGCGCGAGCUAAAAAUAGAAACGGGGUUGGAUCGUGAUCCAGAAAUAGAUAGGGGGCAUCACUCCUAUAAAAGGCACACCAUUCAAGAGUACAGUGUGUGCACAGUUUGAAGAAGCGAAAAGCCAGAGCAUAUUUUAUGGAGAAACUGGCUUUUUGUGCCCCUUUCUCUCCUCUGUGGCACUUUUCCUGUUUUUUUCUUUUUUUGACAGGAGGCUCCGCUGCUACAAUGGUUCCUCUCUACGUCACACACACCACGGUGGGGGACGGCAGCAGUGACCCAACCACAGUGACGUCAGCAGGUGGAAUCCACAGGGUGAUGGGGAAACUGUAAAAGGGAAGUAAACAAUAGUUUUUCAUUAUGAUCAGUGUAAACUGCUGUCAACAUGCUCAUGCAGUGUGAACGUGACCCCACUACGCUGCAUUUAUUUUACAUCUUGUGUGUCACCCUGACAAUUUGCUGCAUUUAAAAUCUUCUUCUUUUAGGUCUUCUUCUUCAUCUUCUUUUUGAUCACCUCAUAUUACAAAAAUGGAAAUUCGUCUACGGAACUUUUCCUUAAAAAAAAAAACAAGGCAACAAUAGACUCGCUUAUCACUAUUAUUGGCAAUAAAAACAGGCGUCUACAUAUUAUUUCAAGCUAAGAAUGAGCCAGCCAUGUAAGGAAAUUCUUUUGUUCUAUUCAGCCUCGGCACCACAACAAGGAGAACAUGUCACAACACGACAUUGUGCUGACUAUCAAACAUUCAUAAUAUUUAAGCGUGCAAACACUGGCAGCGCUCUUUGUAACUUAAAGUACUAAAAAUCAUCAGUCUUUAGAUUACUGUGUGUUGUUUGUACACAUCCAGUGACCUGAACACACUUUAGGUGAUAUAUGAUACAGUCCUGAGAGUAUUUAAGAUUUUCUGUAGUCCAACAUGAAUGAAUGACCCCUGUGAAAUACCUGAAUGAGAGUCACCUCACAGGAGAUCUGGCUUGGAGGCCCCUGACCCUUGGGGUCCCUGGGCUCUCAUGUAUGCCCAGGAGCAAUAAGCGAAGCCCCUCCUCAGCUCCAGUGGAGCAGCCCAGCAGCUCACAGAGCAGACAGCUUCUGUUUCGGGAGAGUGAGGAUGUGAUUAAGCCUCACUGCUCCCUGAGACUUCCCCUCCAGGCCAUCCUGUUAAUCAGCUCACCUGCUUAAAGGAGAAGUAAUAACAAUGGCACAAAAGUUAGAACACACACACACACACACACACACACACACACUGGUCAGAAGACAGUCUGUGUCUGUCAUGCAUGGUUUUGUGAGGAGCAGAGUCGUGACAAAAACUUGCUAAAAGGGCAGAAUUAGCAACAACUUGGGCGUAGAAAGACGAUCAGAUUAAAAAUAUCUUUGACCAGUACGAUGCCACUUUUGGAGAAAUCAUAGAAAUACUAAAAUUAUACAUAAACGUACAGAGUUUAGAUCCAGGGAGUAAAGACGUGUUUUCUCUUUCAGGGUCACAUUGUUUGUGUCACAUCAUAUUUGUCCUUGUCCUGUGCAUCAGAAGGUGAUUUGGAGUUUUUUAAAUUUAUUUUUGCAUUUUCAUUUUUGUGUGUGAAGAAACUCACUACACUUUUGCUGAAUGUAUCAAGAUAUGCCAUCUCUUAGUUUUUCUUUCAAUCUGUCCUUUAUUUUAUUUCAUUUAUUUAUUUAUUUGCUGUGACAUUACUAUCACUGUUUCUCUGUGUCAGUGACCACAUCUUUUUCUGAAAAGCAAGAAACACAGAGCAAGACGUGUAUUUGGAGUUAAUGUGCGUCCAUGUUGUAGUGUUACUUUUGCAGGUGUGUGUGUGUGUGUGUGUGUGUGUGUGAGAGAGAGAAGGACCAAUAGAAAGAGAGAAAAGCUUUAGAUUUUUUUUAAAUAAAUACAGUCUGAAAUUAAAUAAGGUGCAUGCAUGUGUCCCUUCAUGUACAAAUAUUUAAAGCAGCCUGCAUUACAUGUGUGUGUUCAAUCUAUAUGAUUAUUUUAUUGAAAUGUUACAGAGACAUUUCUGCACAAGUGUCACCAAGCACCUGUCAGACACACACAUGUUCUGCUCCUGCAUUUGCAUCAGGCAGAAAUGUUUUAGAUAAAAUCAACAAGCAUUGUAUAAAAAAAAACAACAACACGUUGAUCCCACUGUUUGUAGUUUUCAGAUGUACAGCGAGCCGUCACAUGUUUAACACUGACGAAACGGAAAUCCACAACCACGUCUUCUCACUGCAGGUUCAGUAAAUGCUCAAUUAUCUUAAACUUUAUCAUCAGAUUCAGAACAGAUGACAAAAAGAAACAAGAUGCAGAGAGCAAGUUGUGUGAGGGGAGUCAAUGUGCGUCCGUGUGUGUGUCCUCUGUGUGUGUGUGUGUGUGUGUGUGUGUGUGUAACCUUUUACUUCACACUCUUAUUCCCCUCUUACCAUGUGUGCUCUCUUGGCUCUCUACUUGUUAAAAUUAAUUUCAUGUUUAAUCUCAUUCUGUCUUUUUUUGUCAUGAAUUUUCUCUUUUUUUGUUCAAAUGUAUCAUAACAUUUACAGCCUGUAUGAAAAACCUAGAUAAACUGAUUAAAAAAAUGAACCCUAAUCAUAAAUAUACCCCAAAAAUGACUGAAUGUGUCGACAGUAAAUUCACCCAAUUUGCUCUCACUAUGGAUGGAUGGACAGUUUUAUUGUAUGCUGUUACCUGUGUGUGUUUUGCUCAAGAACGUGUUAUAUGUUUCAGUAUUAAUGAUGAUUUAUUCAUUUUUAUACAGCAGCUUUAUAAUAAAAACAGUGUGAAACCCUCUGCCAUGUGUCCUUAUUGAUUUUGCAUGUGCAACACUUGAAGUAUGAUGUUUUUGAAAAGUGUAAUCAGUGUGUACCUGUGUGACGUUUGUUGUCAAAUAACAAUUGAAAUAAACAUUAUUAAAAGCC